rnacentral:rRNA from 2 species
CGAACUCUGGUAUUGAUUGGUGCUUGCAUCAUGAUUUACAUUUGAGUGAGUGGCGAACUGGUGAGUAACACGUGGGAAACCUGCCCAGAAGCGGGGGAUAACACCUGGAAACAGAUGCUAAUACCGCAUAACAACUUGGACCGCAUGGUCCGAGUUUGAAAGAUGGCUUCGGCUAUCACUUUUGGAUGGUCCCGCGGCGUAUUAGCUAGAUGGUGGGGUAACGGCUCACCAUGGCAAUGAUACGUAGCCGACCUGAGAGGGUAAUCGGCCACAUUGGGACUGAGACACGGCCCAAACUCCUACGGGAGGCAGCAGUAGGGAAUCUUCCACAAUGGACGAAAGUCUGAUGGAGCAACGCCGCGUGAGUGAAGAAGGGUUUCGGCUCGUAAAACUCUGUUGUUAAAGAAGAACAUAUCUGAGAGUAACUGUUCAGGUAUUGACGGUAUUUAACCAGAAAGCCACGGCUAACUACGUGCCAGCAGCCGCGGUAAUACGUAGGUGGCAAGCGUUGUCCGGAUUUAUUGGGCGUAAAGCGAGCGCAGGCGGUUUUUUAAGUCUGAUGUGAAAGCCUUCGGCUCAACCGAAGAAGUGCAUCGGAAACUGGGAAACUUGAGUGCAGAAGAGGACAGUGGAACUCCAUGUGUAGCGGUGAAAUGCGUAGAUAUAUGGAAGAACACCAGUGGCGAAGGCGGCUGUCUGGUCUGUAACUGACGCUGAGGCUCGAAAGUAUGGGUAGCAAACAGGAUUAGAUACCCUGGUAGUCCAUACCGUAAACGAUGAAUGCUAAGUGUUGGAGGGUUUCCGCCCUUCAGUGCUGCAGCUAACGCAUUAAGCAUUCCGCCUGGGGAGUACGGCCGCAAGGCUGAAACUCAAAGGAAUUGACGGGGGCCCGCACAAGCGGUGGAGCAUGUGGUUUAAUUCGAAGCUACGCGAAGAACCUUACCAGGUCUUGACAUACUAUGCAAAUCUAAGAGAUUAGACGUUCCCUUCGGGGACAUGGAUACAGGUGGUGCAUGGUUGUCGUCAGCUCGUGUCGUGAGAUGUUGGGUUAAGUCCCGCAACGAGCGCAACCCUUAUUAUCAGUUGCCAGCAUUAAGUUGGGCACUCUGGUGAGACUGCCGGUGACAAACCGGAGGAAGGUGGGGAUGACGUCAAAUCAUCAUGCCCCUUAUGACCUGGGCUACACACGUGCUACAAUGGAUGGUACAACGAGUUGCGAACUCGCGAGAGUAAGCUAAUCUCUUAAAGCCAUUCUCAGUUCGGAUUGUAGGCUGCAACUCGCCUACAUGAAGUCGGAAUCGCUAGUAAUCGCGGAUCAGCAUGCCGCGGUGAAUACGUUCCCGGG